UAGGGAUUUACGCGCAAAACGAAUAUAUUAUGGUAACAUUUUCGAACUAUAUAUAUAAUAAUACGAUAUAAACACGUAAUACAAGAUACCAACGUACUGAAGGUUUUGGGAAACGACGGUUCAGAAAAAUUAUAGUUUAAGAAGAAAAAACUGAAAUUAAGGCGAAGUCCCGUUUAUGGUUUGUCGCCGAACGCCGAUGCCGGUAAAAUAAACACACGAAACGCGGAAUACACGAGUUACGACUUGCGGGUUUUUUAAACUGAUGUGUUGCCACUGUUGCACAUACUGUUAAUACAUACUCUACAAUAACGUUUAAUAACUGUUCGACGUCUUGUUUCAAUAACUCGAUAUUAAAUUUGUAAUCGGGCGAACGGCGGCAACGACCGCUGACGUCGCGAAUAAUAUUCAAGACCGCUGUAGUCAUUGAUGACAUUUUUAUAUUUCCUGGAGUUUUGUCACCCCAGUGGUAGUUUAAUAAAAAAAAAACUCGAGACAAAAAUCUCAAAUCGGUGAAAUCACAGAAUACGACAAAAUUGUCGUCCAUGAUUUAAGAUAUUAGUAUAAUUGCAGUUUAUCGAUCAAGCGAUUUUUUUAUUAUCAUUGACACAUGUAUUUUAACGAUUUAAGAACGAUAGUGCCAAAAAAAAUUUGCGCAAGUAAUUACUUUGGAAGUUAUACCUAUGCGCAGAACACUAAUGCCACGCAGAAGACCUCAAGUCUGCCAACCGGAGCCGGUAGGCGAAGGAAGCCACUAUACCUGUUAAUUUGUUAUUUAAAAUAAUUUGAUCGCGAUAGUACACUCCAUAUCUCCGUGAAGGUAAAUACUAAAUACGCUAUGACAGAAUAAAUAAAUAAAUCAUAAUAAUUAUGUAGGAAUAUCUUAUCUAGUUAGUAUAUAGAAGUCUGUGUUUCAUUUUUAUUUGUCUUCCCGGUUAUCGAUAAGACGAUAACCUAAUUUAAAAUAAUUAUAAUCUAAAUGUUAUUAGUUAUAACUUAUAACUUACUAUAUUGAAAAAUUCGUUAUAGACGCGGCGCGCGGCAGGAUAAGUACAACAUUGUUGUGCGCAUAUAAUAUUUAAAAACGUAAAUUCGCAAACUUUGGAAGGACGUAACUCCCAAAAUAAUUAUUUGAGCAAUUUUUUUUUAGGCACCAUCAUUCUUAACUCGUUGUAAUAUACGUGUUUCAAAAAAUAAAAAUAAAUAAAAAAAUCGCUUGGUAGCUAAACUGCAAUUGUUCCAAGAUAUUUAUCUCCAUAUAAGACAAAAUAUAAUAAUAUGGAUCUAUUAAUUAUUAUUAGUAUAUAUUUUGGUGGUUGUGUCUCGAACACGGCGCGUGGACUUGCAGUGUUCAAAAGUGAACUUUUCAUUUUUUACUUUUUAAUCUUUUUAGUGAUGGGUUGUACUCUAGACUCUUGUUUCUGCAGCUUAAACUUUGAAAGUAGGAGUGGAGAUGAGUGGACUACAAGACUACUGCAAAAGCUCUAAUCACUAAUCAGACGACAUUUUGUUACCAUCUACUGAUCUUCCCAUUCUACCCGCUCGUCCCUCUUUAAAAGUUUAAACGCUCGUAAUUCGUAAGUCUAAUUGUCUUAUUAGUCAUCAUUAACAAUUAUUAACUAAGUUAUUGAUUAACUCAUAACCAUUAGUUACACAAAUUUUAUACAAAAUAUCCUUUUCAAUUUUUAUAGAAUUGUUUACACAUAAUAUUAUAA